rnacentral:rRNA from 1 species
UGGGGAAUAUUGGACAAUGGGCGCAAGCCUGAUCCAGCCAUGCCGCGUGAGUGAUGAAGGCCCUAGGGUUGUAAAGCUCUUUCACCGGUGAAGAUAAUGACGGUAACCGGAGAAGAAGCCCCGGCUAACUUCGUGCCAGCAGCCGCGGUAAUAUGAAGGGGGCUAGCGUUGUUCGGAUUUACUGGGCGUAAAGCGCACGUAGGCGGACUUUUAAGUCAGGGGUGAAAUCCCGGGGCUCAACCCCGGAACUGCCUUGGAUACUGGAAGUCUUGAGUAUGGUAGAGGUGGGUGGAAUUCCGAGUGUAGAGGUGAAAUUCGUAGAUAUUCGGAGGAACACCAGUGGCGAAGGCGGCUCACUGGACCAUUACUGACGCUGAGGAGCGAAAGAGUGGGGAGCAAACAGG